rnacentral:rRNA from 1 species
UGGAAUCGCUAGUAAUCGCGGAUCAGCACGCCGCGGUGAGUACGUUCCCGGGCCUUGUACACACCGCCCGUCACACCAUGAGAGUCUGUAACACCCAAAGCCGGUGGGAUAACCUUUAUAGGAGUCAGCCGUCUAAGGUAGGACAGAUGAUUAGGGUGAAGUCGUAACAAGGUACC